UACGAAGGGGGCUAGCGUUGCUCGGAAUCACUGGGCGUAAAGGGCGCGUAGGCGGAUCUUUAAGUCAGGGGUGAAAGCCCAAGGCUCAACCUUGGAAUUGCCUUUGAUACUGAGGAUCUUGAGACCGGAAGAGGUAAGUGGAACUGCGAGUGUAGAGGUGAAAUUCGUAGAUAUUCGCAAGAACACCAGUGGCGAAGGCGGCUUACUGGUCCGGUACUGACGCUGAGGUGCGAAAGCGUGGGGAGCAAACAGG
rnacentral:rRNA from 1 species